UACCAAGGGAGAUGAAUGUAUUAUUCUGUGAGUAUGAGUAUGAUAUUCAUUGGCAUACUUUCAAAUGCCUGGCAGAUGUG
rnacentral:snoRNA from 1 species